GCGGACACUGAGGCUCGCGGAGCACGUAUCAGAGCUGGGAGUCAUGGUGGUCGCCAAUCGUAAGCACGUUGCGGUGAGAGGCUCGGAUAAGUUAGCCAAGUUCGAUACUGCAGUUACAAAUAUCCGGCCGACGUUGAUACUGAGCCAAGAUGAAGUUCAGUUGGAAAUCAUACGAUGAAUUGAGAAAUGGGAGCUUAAGAAUGGAGAGGGGAUGUUGAAGCACAUACAGCGAGAAGUUAUGGAGGAGAAAACGCUUGUAGAAGAAGGAGAGUUAUUUAGUGCUUAGGUUUGAAGGUUGCUUUGGAAAGUGUGAAGUGAAAGUCAAGUAAAUAAUGGCAGUGUUCCGCUUCAUACUUUAUUUUGGCUGUCAUUUUCCUUUCAUGUUAAGCUCCACUAGCCCUGAACUGCCGCGUUUCGUAACUUCUAUGAAAGAUGAUUCUUGCUCUAUUCUUUUCUACCUUCAAAGAUUUUUCCAGGUGUCUUCAUAUUUUCUUGCUUCAAAUGCGAAGUAAAUCAAAAGUCACCUCAUGAAUGGUGAAAGCAUCUCACACAAGUUGCGUGAUCGUGAGUACGCGGGCCUUGGAAAACCUGUAUCAAUAUAGCACCACAACUUGGACGUACAGCUGCGCACGAGGCCAUUUUCAAUCUACAACGCAGAGAACAGUAACACAACAGGACAUGAGGUUGGACUCUCUUUUCAGUUCGGCCUUCGUAGCUAUGAACUUUCAGUAAGUCUUUCCCAUGACAAUCGACGAGGGAAAACGAUGUGUAUAUGAGAAAUCUCCGCUGAGACGGACCAUUCUCAGAAAACUUGGCGUAAAUCCAAAGCGCAACAGAGACCAAUUCGAAUAGUUGCAUCUGGGAGUGAAAUCACGGAAGAGAAAAGGACAGCGGCAAGGGAGCAGAAAUUGGAAUGAAGUGGAAGAGACGCACAGGGAGAGGGAGGUGAAUGGAGCGGAUUGCGCAACAAUCGAGUUUGUUGCAAAAAGGGGAGGGGUCCAUGUGCAUCCAUCCUUUCGUUCCUGGAACUUGGUAGAUUAGGAGCUACGCAACAACAACGCUUGCAACAGAAGCAGCAGGAGCUCCAUGUGGCCAGGCAUUCAUCCAAAUAUCCAUCCAUCCAUGUAGAUCUUCAUCCAUCCAAUCCAGGUCUCACGAGGAGAGAGCAGAAGGAACGCUGGAUGAGUGGGGGAGGGGAGGACAUUGAUGGGUGACGUAGACAAUCAUGUAGACUGUUAACAUAAUAAAUAUUAUUGGAAAAUUUACAAAAGCUACAUUUAUAAAAUAUAUAUAUAUAGUUAAAUUUUUAUAGUAGGGUAAGAAGAUCACCCAAAUAUUUAACCAUUGUUGAGAUCUUUAUAAUCAUAAUCAAUAUUUGAAUGGCA